AGAGUUCAUAUCGACGGCGGUGUUUGGCACCUCGAUGUCGGCUCAUCACAUCCUGGGGCUGAAGUAGGUCCCAAGGGUAUGGCUGUUCGCCAUUUAAAGUGGUACGCGAGCUGGGUUUAGAACGUCGCUGUUC
rnacentral:rRNA from 1 species